rnacentral:rRNA from 1 species
UACGUAGGCAGCAAGCGUUGUUCGGAGUUACUGGGCGUAAAGCGUGCGCAGGCGGUUGUGCAAGACAGGUGUGAAAUCCCCGGGCUUAACCUGGGAACUGCACUUGUGACUGCACAGCUGGAGUACGGCAGAGGAGACUAGAAUUCCUGGUGUAGCAGUGAAAUGCGUAGAUAUCAGGAGGAAUACCGAUGGCGAAGGCAGGUCUCUGGGUCGAUACUGACGCUCAUGCACGAAAGCGUGGGGAGCAAACAGG